GUCCAUGUGUGACACAAUUGUUGUGAUUAUAUGGACCCCUACAUAUAUAUAUAGCACUCUGAUCCAUGUGUUGCAUGAAGCCUACAUGAUUAUUAAAGUCAUUUUGCUAUAUAUGGAUGGUUACAAUUGAUGGUUUGGACCUCUCGAUUUCAACCACAAACUAGAGGAUCCCAACUCUACAUCCUAACCCUAUAAUGUAUG
rnacentral:lncRNA from 1 species